rnacentral:rRNA from 1 species
UACGUAGGGUGCAAGCGUUAAUCGGAAUUACUGGGCGUAAAGCGUGCGCAGGCGGUUAUGCAAGACAGAGGUGAAAUCCCCGGGCUCAACCUGGGAACUGCAUUUGUGACUGCACAGCUGGAGUGCGGCAGAGGGGGAUGGAAUUCCGCGUGUAGCAGUGAAAUGCGUAGAUAUGCGGAGGAACACCGAUGGCGAAGGCAAUCCCCUGGGCCUGCACUGACGCUCAUGCACGAAAGCGUGGGGAGCAAACAGG